rnacentral:rRNA from 1 species
UACGUAGGGUGCGAGCGUUGUCCGGAAUUAUUGGGCGUAAAGAGCUUGUAGGCGGUUUGUCGCGUCUGCCGUGAAAAUCCGGGGCUCAACCCCGGACUUGCGGUGGGUACGGGCAGGCUAGAGUGUGGUAGGGGAGACUGGAAUUCCUGGUGUAGCGGUGAAAUGCGCAGAUAUCAGGAGGAACACCGAUGGCGAAGGCAGGUCUCUGGGCCAGUACUGACGCUGAGAAGCGAAAGCGUGGGGAGCAAACAGG